GAUUAAAAACAAAAAUGACAAUGACAACAGGAGACUGACAGAUAUGGAUUAAAAACUGAGUGUUGAUCAAACUAUUGGAUUGGCAUUUUUACUAUUUUUAACCAGUUAAUAUGGGUGUGAUGAGUGAAAAAUGAUCAAAUCUUACCUGUGAAGAUACAUAUAUCUUUAGAAUGAAUUAUUCGAAUAUUCAAAGAGCGAGGAUUUUAUACAAAACAAUACUCAAACUUCACAGAGGUCUCCCAGAGGAACUACAAAUAAUAGGGACAAAUUAUACCAGGGAUGAAUUCAAGAGGCACAAGGUUUGCAGUGAAAAAGAAGCUGAAGUAUUUAUUAUCGAAUGGACAAAUUAUGCACUCAUCCUGGCAGAGCAGCUGGGGCUUAGAGGUCCCCAGAGAGGUUGUAGUGGACCUAGAGGUUCCCAGAUUAGUGCCAAGAAAUUAGGAGUUCCUUUAUCAGAGAAAGAGUUGGAUCAAUUCAGAGAUGAACAGGUUCAUCAACUUCUUGAACUGAUGCAAGAAGCAACAAAAGUGAAAAUAAAAUAAUGAAAUGGUAUCCAAUCAAAAUUUUCACAAGAAUUGUUAUAUUAUCUUAUCGUGAAGACUGACAAAAUUUGUCAAUAAACCAUCCAUCACAAGUUCAA